rnacentral:rRNA from 1 species
GAUGAACGCUGACAGAAUGCUUAACACAUGCAAGUCAACUUGAAUUUGGGUUUUUUAACUUAGAUUUGGGUGGCGGACGGGUGAGUAACGCGUAAAGAACUUGCCUCACAGCUAGGGACAACAUUUGGAAACGAAUGCUAAUACCUGAUAUUAUGAUUAUAAGGCAUCUUAGAAUUAUGAAAGCUAUAUGCGCUGUGAGAGAGCUUUGCGUCCCAUUAGCUAGUUGGAGAGGUAACGGCUCACCAAGGCGAUGAUGGGUAGCCGGCCUGAGAGGGUGAACGGCCACAAGGGGACUGAGACACGGCCCUUACUCUUACGGGAGGCAGAAGUGGGGAAUAUUGGACAAUGGACCAAGAGUCUGAUCCAGCAAUUCUGUGUGCACGAUGACGUUUUUCGGAAUGUAAAGUGCUUUCAGUUGGGAAGAAAAAAAUGACGGUACCAACAGAAGAAGUGACGGCUAAAUACGUG